UGAUGGAUUGAAGAACUCUAUGAAAGAGAUAGAGAAGCAUCUGCUCACAGAGUUCACUGUUUUGGAGAUGCAUCUCAAAACAAAGGGGCAUUGUUUUGGAGCAUUCGUGUUUCAUCUACUUGGGAUGAAUCCAUGUUUUACGAGGACGCAGUGGCUUAAAGUCAUCAUACAGAGAUCAGCGUUGAAGCAUGAAUGCCCACAGGAUUGUGCUUGUGACGAUCCAGACUGGAGAUCCCAAAUUAUCUCAUUGACCUCUCUCAAAGAAGUGGAGAUAUAUGAAUUUGAAGGGUACGAUCAUGAGAUUGAUUUCUUGAAGCUGAUAUUCAAAUGUGCGCCCAUGCUUAAACAAAUGAUUGUGGUUAUGUCACUUGCGGCCUCGUCACUUGAUGAUAGAUGCACACAAAUACACAAAAUCUUCCAGGAAUAUACUUAUGUGGAAUGCUAUCUUUAUAUUACCCGUGGGUUAAUUGAUAUUAGCCACGAUUGAACGUCGGCAUGAUUCUCAUCCUUUCAUGUACAGAUUGGUGGUUGGAUCAUGCUUCUUUUGAUGCAAGGUUGAUCAUUGAUGACUGCCAAAGAUGUGCCAAGAAUCAUAAUGACAACUUUGGCUCCUUGUGUAUCUAAUGGCAUCAUCUUAAAGACUUCUAAUUUUGGUGAUGUUUGUAUGAAGUGUCAAUGGCUGAUGGUUUGAUGUUAUUGUUGACUGUCAAACUAGUUGUAAUAUUGUUGAAUGAUGAUCUAGGCUAUCGAAUGUAUCUGCUAUA